AGACAACAAAAUGUUUAAUAUUAUUAUUUUGUCACCUUAGGUCGAUCGGUAUCUCACGUUUUUAAUUUAUUAAGAAUUUCAUUUCCUAAGUUUUUCUAGGUCACACCCAUUAUUUUUCCUGGGCCAUUAGCUCAGGUGGUUAGAGCGCACCCCUGAUAAGGGUGAGGUCCCUGGUUCAAGUCCAGGAUGGCCCAUAUCUCUAUGUUGGGGGUAUAGCUCAGUUGGUAGAGCGCCUGCUUUGCAAGCAGGAUGUCAGCGGUUCGAGUCCGCUUACCUCCACUGAUCACCACCUCUUCCAUAAUCGGUAGAAAGGAAAUUUUUUGAGUUGUGAUCAAAUUCUGAAAGAAUCUAGCUUCCUAAUGAAAUCAUUAAGAUGCUGGACUCAUUGAAUUAAUUUCAUUGUUUUCAGAGAACCUUGACAACUGCAUAGAUUAUUUUUAAAGACAAUAAGCAUCUUUAAUGAUGCAGAUUUAUUAUUUGUGCAAAUGCAUUAAUAACAAUUCUAUUAAGCUGAUGCUUCAAUAUUUGAAGUUAUU
rnacentral:tRNA from 1 species